GUGGAGGCGUUGGUGGGAUACUACCCUCGCUGUGUUGGAUUUCUAACCCGCACCAUUGAUCAUGGUGGGAGACAGUGUCAGAUGGACAGUUUGACUGGGGCGGUCGCCUCCUAAAGAGUAACGGAGGCGCUCAAAGGUUCCCUCAGAAUGGUUGGAAAUCAUUCACAGAGUGUAAAGGCAUAAGGGAGCUUGACUGCGAGACUUACAAGUCGAGCAGGGUCGAAAGACGGACUUAGUGAUCCGGUGGUUCCGCAUGGAAGGGCCAUCGCUCAACGGAUAAAAGCUACCCCGGGGAUAACAGGCUUAUCUCCCCCAAGAGUUCACAUCGACGGGGAGGUUUGGCACCUCGAUGUCGGCUCAUCGCAUCCUGGGGCUGUAGUCGGUCCCAAGGGUUGGGCUGUUCGCCCAUUAAAGCGGUACGCGAGCUGGGUUCAGAACGUCGUGAGACAGUUCGGUCCCUAUCCGUCGUGGGCGUAGGAAAUUUGAGAGGAGCUGUCCUUAGUACGAGAGGACCGGGAUGGACAUACCUCUGGUGUACCAGUUGUCGUGCCAACGGCAUCGCUGGGUAGCUAUGUAUGGACGGGAUAAGUGCUGAAAGCAUCUAAGCAUGAAGCCCCCCUCAAGAUGAGAUUUCCCAACUUCGGUUAUAAGAUCCCUCAAAGAUGAUGAGGUUAAUAGGUUCGAGGUGGAAGCAUAGUGAUAUGUGGAGCUGACGAAUACUA
rnacentral:rRNA from 1 species